rnacentral:rRNA from 1 species
UACAGAGGUCUCAAGCGUUGUUCGGAUUCAUUGGGCGUAAAGGGUGCGUAGGUGGCGCGAUAAGUCGGGUGUGAAAUCUCGGAGCUUAACUCCGAAAUUGCAUUCGAUACUGCCGUGCUCGAGGACUGGAGAGGAGACUGGAAUUCAUGGUGUAGCAGUGAAAUGCGUAGAGAUCAUGAGGAAGACCAGUGGCGAAGGCGGGUCUCUGGAACGGUACUGACGCUGAGACGCGAAAGCGUGGGGAGCGAACAGG